UACAGAGGUCUCAAGCGUUGUUCGGAUUCAUUGGGCGUAAAGGGUGCGUAGGCGGCGCGGUAAGUCGGGUGUGAAAUCUCGGGGCUUAACUCCGAAACUGCAUUCGAUACUGCCGUGCUUGAGGACUGGAGAGGAGACUGGAAUUUACGGUGUAGCGGUGAAAUGCGUAGAUAUCGUAAGGAAGACCAGUGGCGAAGGCGGGUCUCUGGACAGUUCCUGACGCUGAGGAGCGAAAGCAUGGGGAGCAAACAGG
rnacentral:rRNA from 1 species